CUGUGAGCUCGAUGAGUAGGGCGGGACACGUGGUAUCCUGUCUGAAUAUGGGGGGACCAUCCUCCAAGGCUAAAUACUCCUGACUGACCGAUAGUGAACCAGUACCGUGAGGGAAAGGCGAAAAGAACCCCGGCGAGGGGAGUGAAAAAGAACCUGAAACCGUGUACGUACAAGCAGUGGGAGCACGCUUAGGCGUGUGACUGCGUACCUUUUGUAUAAUGGGUCAGCGACUUAUAUUCUGUAGCAAGGUUAACCGAAUAGGGGAGCCGAAGGGAAACCGAGUCUUAACUGGGCGUUAAGUUGCAGGGUAUAGACCCGAAACCCGGUGAUCUAGCCAUGGGCAGGUUGAAGGUUGGGUAACACUAACUGGAGGACCGAACCGACUAAUGUUGAAAAAUUAGCGGAUGACUUGUGGCUGGGGGUGAAAGGCCAAUCAAACCGGGAGAUAGCUGGUUCUCCCCGAAAGCUAUUUAGGUAGCGCCUCGUGAAUUCAUCUCCGGGGGUAGAGCACUGUUUCGGCAAGGGGGUCAUCCCGACUUACCAACCCGAUGCAAACUGCGAAUACCGGAGAAUGUUAUCACGGGAGACACACGGCGGGUGCUAACGUCCGUCGUGAAGAGGGAAACAACCCAGACCGCCAGCUAAGGUCCCAAAGUCAUGGUUAAGUGGGAAACGAUGUGGGAAGGCCCAGACAGCCAGGAUGUUGGCUUAGAAGCAGCCAUCAUUUAAAGAAAGCGUAAUAGCUCACUGGUCGAGUCGGCCUGCGCGGAAGAUGUAACGGGGCUAAACCAUGCACCGAAGCUGCGGCAGCGACGCUUAUGCGUUGUUGGGUAGGGGAGCGUUCUGUAAGCCUGCGAAGGUGUGCUGUGAGGCAUGCUGGAGGUAUCAGAAGUGCGAAUGCUGACAUAAGUAACGAUAAAGCGGGUGAAAAGCCCGCUCGCCGGAAGACCAAGGGUUCCUGUCCAACGUUAAUCGGGGCAGGGUGAGUCGACCCCUAAGGCGAGGCCGAAAGGCGUAGUCGAUGGGAAACAGGUUAAUAUUCCUGUACUUGGUGUUACUGCGAAGGGGGGACGGAGAAGGCUAUGUUGGCCGGGCGACGGUUGUCCCGGUUUAAGCGUGUAGGCUGGUUUUCCAGGCAAAUCCGGAAAAUCAAGGCUGAGGCGUGAUGACGAGGCACUACGGUGCUGAAGCAACAAAUGCCCUGCUUCCAGGAAAAGCCUCUAAGCAUCAGGUAACAUCAAAUCGUACCCCAAACCGACACAGGUGGUCAGGUAGAGAAUACCAAGGCGCUUGAGAGAACUCGGGUGAAGGAACUAGGCAAAAUGGUGCCGUAACUUCGGGAGAAGGCACGCUGAUAUGUAGGUGAAGUCCCUCGCGGAUGGAGCUGAAAUCAGUCGAAGAUACCAGCUGGCUGCAACUGUUUAUUAAAAACACAGCACUGUGCAAACACGAAAGUGGACGUAUACGGUGUGACGCCUGCCCGGUGCCGGAAGGUUAAUUGAUGGGGU
rnacentral:rRNA from 1 species